UCUAGCUUUUGGAGGAGAUGACAGCACUCAUGCACAAGGACGUGGGCAAGCUAUUGAUAACCAAUCUGCAUAAAUAGGCAGGCAACAUAGUUGAGAAGGACCCAAAGAGUCCAAUGAAGACGUCAUGUGCCCAGUUGCUAGAUGGCUGCCCGAUCAGAGGUGGAAGAAGCGGGCCAGAUGGUCAGCGGAACCAUUUUCCUGCUGCCAUUUAUCCUCAAAGAGGAUCCAGCACAGUUGUUUGCGGCUGAUGAGGACCCUGUGUUUCCAACACCAACCAUUGUGCUCAGGGGUUGUGUGGAUGGAAAGCCUCUGGAGAGUGGAAGCCUUACCUUCAUAAUCUAGGAACAGGAACUUUCUAUCCACUAUUAUUACAUAUCUCUUGUCAGACAUUCUUUUGACGUCAUGUUCCUGACAGACUAGGAUCAGUCAUUGUCUUGGUCUUACAAUCCUUUUCCUGCAGACCACAUGCACAUCUUCAAUGAGGUGUUGACGUAUCGCUUGUCCAAUUCAUUACAGAUAUGCGUGUGUGUGUGUGUGUGUGGUCUGCUGUCAAAUGAUUGUAGACUACAAUGAUUUAUCCUAAUCUGUCAGGAACAUAAAGUCAACAGAAUGUCUGACAAGAGAAAUGUAGCGAUAAUGGAUUGGAAGAUCAUGUCCUUAAAUUACGAAGGUUUACGAUGUGAAAGUGAUGGCCCCUUCCGCUUUACUACCGUGUCCUCCAGUCACAUACUCAUGUUCUUAGAUUAUACUGUACCUCUAUUAUUGAACAAUUACAUUGUUUUAAAUUGUACUUUGAAAUGACUGGAAAUUGUACUAUGUUGGAAAUUGUACUUUGAAAUGAAUGGAAAUAUGUUGGAAAUUGUACUUUGAAAUGAAUGGAAAUGGUACUUUGUUGGAAAUUGUACUUUGAGUUUGAAAUGAAAUGGUACUUUGUUUGAAAUUGUAGAUUCUACUUUGUUUUGUACUUCUUGGUUGUAUAAUAAAUGAUUGGUAAAUUUGA